rnacentral:rRNA from 1 species
GAUGAACGCUAGCGGCAGGCCUAACACAUGCAAGUCGAGGGGUAGACAUCUUCGGAUGUUGAGACCGGCGCACGGGUGCGUAACGCGUAUGCAAUCUACCUUAUACUAAGGGAUAGCCCAGAGAAAUUUGGAUUAAUACCUUAUAGUUAAUUGGGUUGGCAUCAACCUAAUUAUAAAGAUUUAUUGGUAUAAGAUGAGCAUGCGUCCCAUUAGUUAGUUGGUAAGGUAACGGCUUACCAAGACGAUGAUGGGUAGGGGUCCUGAGAGGGAGAUCCCCCACACUGGUACUGAGACACGGACCAGACUCCUACGGGAGGCAGCAGUGAGGAAUAUCGGUCAAUGGAGGCAACUCUGAACCAGCCAUGCCGCGUGCAGGAUGAAGCAUCUAUGGUGUGUAAACUGCUUUUGUACGGGAAGAAAAAAAGCUACGUGUAGCUUACUGACGGUACCGUAAGAAUAAGGAUCGGCUAACUCCGUGCCAGCCGCCGCCGUAAGAC